rnacentral:misc_RNA from 1 species
GGAAGGAUCAUUCAUACAUUGAAUUUCAAACCUGAACCUUUUUUUCAAAAAACCUUUAAGAAAAAACGUACAAUUUCUUUACACCUUUAGCGAUGGAUGUCUAGGUCCUUGCUUCGAUGAAGGACGCAGCGAACUGCGAUAAGCAGUGUGAAUUGCAGACUUCAGAGAAUCACUAGAUUACUGAACGCAAAUGGCACUCUAGAGUCUACCUAGAGUAUGUUCAUUUCAGUGGCCUUCACUACUAUUAACACUCUUUACGAGAGUUAAUGUGAGUGGAUGUUAUGUGAAUACAUGACACCAUAAGUGAAGUGUAGCUAAAUCCUAUUGAGGAAGAGGGAAACCCAUCAUCCGAAAAUGGGAUGUGCUACAAGCUCUUCUAUUAAUUGGUCCUGAAAUUGAGCAAGGUUACCCGCUGAACUUAAGCAUAUCAUUAAGCGGAGGAAAAGAAACUAACUAGGAUUCCCUUAGUAAAGGCGAUUGAAGAGGGAAUAGCUCAAACUGUAAAUCAGCAACUUGUUGCUGAAUUGUAGUCUCGUGAAGUGUUACUAGUGGAAUAUACGGAUAAGUUUCUUGGAAUGGAACAUCAAAGAGGGUGACAAUCCCGUCUUUGCCGUAAUUACUUCCACGUACAGUACACUUUCUUAGAGUCGUGCUCCUUGAGACUGGACCACAAAAUGGGUGAUAUACUUCAUCUAAGGCUAAAUAUUAGCAAGGAACCGAUAGCGUACAAGUACCGUGAGGGAAAGAUGAAAAGGACUUUGAAAAGAGAGUUAAAAGUAUCUGAAAUCGCUAAGGGGGAAGCGCUUGUAAAUCAUGCCGUUUGGGUGCGUCUUGCUUGGCACUAGGGUCUUAGCUGUAAAGCAGCAAUGGUUGCAGCUGAAUCCGAAGUGUUAGGUGAGUUGUAACUCAAGCAGGGUCGGUAUCAGUAAGCAGUAUACUAGUGAUUGCGGUUACAUCAGGCUCAGCUUCGGUUGGGUUUGACUAAUCGUGGUAUAGUAGUAGCUGCUUAUUGAUUGUUUCCAAUGAUAGCCCACUCUCACGAGUACUGUCAUUGUAAGCUACCGAUAAAUGGGGUACAAGCGACCCGUCUUGAAACACGGACCAAGGAGUCUAACAAAUAUGCGAGUUUUUGAGUAGUACACUUAAAAGCGAAAUGAAAGUAACGCUAGGAAUGUAUUGCACUAGCAGCCGACUAUGUUCUCUGGACAAGGUUUGAGCGUGAGCAUAUUUGUUAGGACCCGAAAGAUGGUGAACUAUGCCUGAGUAAGGCGAAGCCAGGGGAAACUCUGGUGGAGGCUUGUAACGAUACUGACGUGCAAAUCGUUCGUCAAACUUGGGUAUAGGGGCGAAAGACUAAUCGAACCAUCUAGUAGCUGGUUCCGUC